rnacentral:rRNA from 1 species
UAAUACGUAGGUGGCAAGCGUUGUCCGGAAUCACUGGGCGUAAAGCGCGCGCAGGCGGCGAUCUACGUCUGGGGUGAAAGCCCGGGGCUCAACCUCGGGACUGCCUUGGAUACGGGAUCGCUUGAGGAUCGGAGAGGCAAGGGGAAUUCCACGUGUAGCGGUGAAAUGCGUAGAGAUGUGGAGGAACACCUGUGGCGAAGGCGCCUUGCUGGCCGAUUUCUGACGCUGAGGCGCGAAAGCGUGGGGAGCAAACAG